rnacentral:rRNA from 1 species
ACGGGUGAGUAACGCGUGGGAACAUACCUCUUGGUUCGGAACAACACAGGGAAACUUGUGCUAAUACCGGAUAAGCCCUUACGGGGAAAGGUUUAUCGCCGAGAGAUUGGCCCGCGUCUGAUUAGCUAGUUGGUGGGGUAAAGGCCUACCAAGGCGACGAUCAGUAGCUGGUCUGAGAGGAUGAUCAGCCACAUUGGGACUGAGACACGGCCCACACUCCUACGGGAGGCAGCAGUGGGGAAUAUUGGACAAUGGGCGCAAGCCUGAUCCAGCCAUGCCGCGUGAGUGAUGAAGGCCCUAGGGUUGUAAAGCUCUUUUGUACGGGAAGAUAAUGACGGUACCGUAAGAAUAAGCCCCGGCUAACUUCGUGCCAGCAGCCGCGGUAAUACGAAGGGGGCUAGCGUUGCUCGGAAUCACUGGGCGUAAAGGGUGCGUAGGCGGGUUUUUAAGUCAGAGGUGAAAUCCUGGAGCUCAACUCCAGAACUGCCUUUGAUACUGAAAGUCUUGAGUAUGGGAGAGGUGAGUGGAACUGCGAGUGUAGAGGUGAAAUUCGUAGA